rnacentral:rRNA from 1 species
CAUUCACGGAGAGUUUGAUCCUGGCUCAGGACGAACGCUGGCGGCGUGCUUAACACAUGCAAGUCGAACGAUGAACCACUUCGGUGGGGAUUAGUGGCGAACGGGUGAGUAACACGUGGGCAAUCUGCCCUGCACUCUGGGACAAGCCCUGGAAACGGGGUCUAAUACCGGAUACAACCACUGACCGCAUGGUCGGGUGGUGGAAAGCUCCGGCGGUGCAGGAUGAGCCCGCGGCCUAUCAGCUUGUUGGUGAGGUAGUGGCUCACCAAGGCGACGACGGGUAGCCGGCCUGAGAGGGCGACCGGCCACACUGGGACUGAGACACGGCCCAGACUCCUACGGGAGGCAGCAGUGGGGAAUAUUGCACAAUGGGCGAAAGCCUGAUGCAGCGACGCCGCGUGAGGGAUGACGGCCUUCGGGUUGUAAACCUCUUUCAGCAGGGAAGAAGCGAAAGUGACGGUACCUGCAGAAGAAGCGCCGGCUAACUACGUGCCAGCAGCCGCGGUAAUACGUAGGGCGCAAGCGUUGUCCGGAAUUAUUGGGCGUAAAGAGCUCGUAGG